ACUGCUAAAAACAAAAAGGCCAUACCUGAAAAGCUUUUACCCAGCAGGGAUGAGGGGCUUCCGUAGCCACAGAGAUACCCUGGCCUAUAUAAACUGCGCCUCCCCUAGGCUGUGUUCAGUUAAGACACAGUUGCAUACAAUGGUAGUGGUAGGAAGCAGCUGGAUACUCCGUGAGAAUCUUGUGCUCUCUUACCCUUGGGGCUAUAACUAAUCAACAGGUUCAGCUGGGUGAAGGAGUAUAGCCAAGUGCCCCAAGAUUGGCUCCGAAGACAAUCACUCGGUACACUUAAGCUGGCCGCCAACUCAAAGACAGUCCUCCUGCCUCCGCUUCUCAUGCCAGUAUCUUAGGCAUAAGCUUCCAUGUCCUGCCCAAUGGUUUUUUGGUUUCGUUUGGUUUGGUUUUCCUAUUUAUUUAUUUUUCAGAGAGUUUUAUGUAGCACAGGCUGGUUUCAAGCUCAGUAUGUAGCUAAGGGUGACCUUGAACUUCUGAUCUUCCUGCUUCCACCUCCUGAAUGCUGGGAUGUCUUUCUUUUAGUAUCAUCAACAAAAUUUGUCAGACCUUCCUAACAGAGCUUUCUCCAGUUCUGCUGCAACCGCCCAUUACCAGGUGUCAAGCCAAGGUGAUUAUAAGCAGUAAAGCAGAUUACACUGUUUUCGUUGUUAAAUCCUCCUUGUUUCUUUGGGUUAUUUGUGCUGUCCUAUUAGGUAAAUGUUCUCAUACUGAGCUAUACCCCUAACCAUCUGUUUCUUCUUAGAUGAAAAGGGUUUCAUUAAUUUGCCUUAAAAUUUAGCCCAGGCAGGCUUUGAACCUGAUACACGUGUGCAUCAGUCUCUCAAGCAGCUGGGAUUAUAGCCUAGGCCUCCAGCCCCAGCUAACAUGGUCUAUGCUUACACUGAGAAGCAAUCUGUUUAUGCAUAUUUAUUUGGUUGUCUCAGUCAUGAAAUGAGGUUGGGGCCAAACCUGACAUAGUCAUUGUUCAAUCCUACGUAAUUUUGUAAUUAUCUCACGUAACUUAAAACUCACUACUAAUUUUCAAGAAAAUUGUUAUUUAAAAUAUGUAAAAGAAUACUUGGAGUAAGUAGUAAACAUCCUGAGCAAAUGUGUAAAAGACUGCAACUACUGAGGUAGCUUUCUUUUGUUUGUUAUUUGGCCAGAAGUUAUUUAUAAGGGUACUAAGAAGCAAUAUUUACUAGAUCUUUCAGGUUUACAAGAAGUAAUCAUUUUGGUCUUGAGCAUCAGAUUCACUUAUUUUGUUAAUUAAAAAUUGUAUUUUUUCAGUAAGUAUCAGAAAGGAAAGGUAAUAGAAAAUUUAUGUCAGAAAAGAUCAUGGUGAUUUUUUAGAAACUACUUUGCUGAGUGUCACUACAAGUUUGGUUCUGCACUCUGACCAAGUGGAGAGCUGCUAUCAGUAUUUCCUGGUGAGAAACCCUGGCUCAGAUUCUCUCUACAGUCCUCUUUUCUCUCUCUGCUAUCCUUUGGUUUUUCUCAUCCUUGUGCCCCACCAUGCUCCCUCCACAAGACCUUCCUUGGUGAUGCUUUGGACUUCCAGUCUGUAGCAUCAUGCUGUGCUGCAGCCAGCAUGACCCAGCCACACUGACUGAUAUCUCCAUAUCCUUAGAGAGGAGAUAAGUUGUGCCCCCACAGCUGACUAGCAUCUUUGGAACAUUCCUUGUGUGCUUUAAAUGUCUGGUCAUCUGUCGCGUGCUUAUGAGAAGAGCUGAAGUGCUGGGCAUUGCUAUUUAUUUUGCAACUACACAGAGUGAGUCCCUGCCAGGCUCCCCUUUAGCCCAGCAUCCAAUGUUCUUUUCCCUUUUUAUCACUGGCUGUAGUUUGUAAUUAUGUCUCUUUCCUGCAGUUACUUCAUUUGCUUUAUACAUCUUUUACUUGCUCCAUAUGCUUCAUGAAGGUAGAAUACUUCAUUUAAAGUUUGUAUUUAAAAGCGUUGUAAGUAUAUCUUUUGACAGUGUUUUAUUCUUGUAAAGAUCACAGGUAGACAGGCUGGCCUCUAGUCUGUCUAUACCCAGGGAUGACCCUGACCUUUCCUUUCUUACUGCUAUCUUCGGGAGAGUACAUGCUAGUAUAGGCCUUGACGUUUCUUUGUUUCUUGAGAGUUGGGUUGGCUGUGAAGUCUGUGUCUGGAGGCCACUGCAGCAGCGCUCGCUCACCAGCUUCCUCUACAUUUGCUGUUGAGGCUUCUCAUGUGGAUUGCAUUCCUAUUGGCAGAUUCCUUAUUUAGGAUUUAUAUAUCUCUGAAGAUUCAUGGUAGUGUUCUCUGAUACAAGAUGCAUUUUGAUCUUGGAUUGUGUUUUCUUAUGCUUGGUACUUAACCAAUUCUUCUAAGCUGAAUACCUACUAGUUUUACUUUUAGGAAAUUUUUUUCUACUCAGUUUUUUUUUUUUUUUUCUGUAGAACUUCCACUGAACCCUUAAGCCUCCUGGAUUGAUCCUUUAAUUACUCAGAUUUCUUUAAUUACUCAAUCAAUUUUUCUUUUUACUGCUUGUUUUUGCUCCUUUCUUGCUAGUCCAUUGAAACUUUCAUUCCUAUUACAUUUUUUAUUUCCAUGGGCUCAUCUUUAUUUUAUUCAUUUUCCACCCCCGCUGUUCAGUUUCUUUCCAGAAGGCAUCUCUGUUGCCAUCUUUAAGUAUAUAAUUUUAAAUAUAUAUUUAAAUACUACUUAAUUAAAUACUUACUGAUUAAUUAAAAUAUUUAAUAAAUUUUAAUCAUUGGUAUUUGGUAAUUUGAUUAAAUAUUAAUUUAAUUUAAGAGAAGGUCUUUAAAUAUGAUAGUCCUUUUUGACUCAUGUGACAUUACUUAGGGGGCCAGGGUUUCUGGCCACCAAAGCUACUCCAGGUUAGUAGCUUCUUUGUCUUUUGUGUUGUAAACUCAAAGAUGAAUUUUACAAACAACAGAAGAGUAAAUUUUAGAUAGGAGCUUAUAGAAAAAUCGCUUAAGAGAAGGAAGCAAGAAAGGACUGCCGCUGACGUCCCUGUUUAGGGCUUAGUGAAGCUUUACUGGGUUGAAGCAUGGGAGGCGAGCUUGUCAGUCCAGUUGUCCCACCCACGAGGUAUUCAUUAACACCUUCCCAUCCUGGUAGCUAGGCUGGAAAUUUGGCACCCCUUCAAGCAUCAGAGAAGCACCUGAUGACACAUAGCUUCCAGACAGCUGUGCUCAUUAAGUUCUGUGUAAACCUAGAAAAAUGGUAACACAGAAAUAGAGCACACCAGUGCCCCUGAAUGGUUCUUAGUGUUUCUGGCCUCUGGUUAGGACAGAACCAAGUACAUACUUGACUGCUAGUUUUCAAGGUCUCCAUCAUGAACUGUGGAAUGGUUUCUUUUUUCCGGCUUUUAAUUACUUCUGGAGAUUGAUUUACCUAU
rnacentral:lncRNA from 1 species